GCCGCGCCCAAAAAUAACCGCCCGAAGGCCGGGGCGCCAAGUUCGUCCAGUGGAAAAAGGCCACAAAUACGGGUGGGCUAUAGCCUUGGGGGGUGGGGCUGGCCAACUUCGUCCGCCGGACUCGGAAUGCCGCGAGACUUUGCGAGGGGCCUCCGUUUGCCAAAAAUAGGCUGCAGGCAAAGCUACACACAAAAAUAACCGCUCGAAGGCCGGGGCACCAAGUUCUCCCAGCGGAAAAAGGGCACAAAAACGGGUGGGCUAUAGCCUUGGGGGGUGGGGCUGGCCAACUUCGUCCGCCGGACUCGGAAUGCCGCGAGACUUUGCGAGGAGCCUACGUGUGCCAAAAAUAGGCC
rnacentral:lncRNA from 1 species